UACGGAGGAUGCGAGCGUUAUCCGGAUUUAUUGGGUUUAAAGGGUGCGCAGGCGGCAUGUCAAGUCAGCGGUAAAAUGUCGGGGCUCAACCCCGGCCGGCCGUUGAAACUGGUUUUCUUGAGUGAAGUAGAGGUUGGCGGAAUUCCGAGUGUAGCGGUGAAAUGCUUAGAUAUCACGAAGAACUCCGAUUGCGAAGGCAGCGUACCGGCUCCAUACUGACGCUGAGGCACGAAAGCGUGGGGAUCGAA
rnacentral:rRNA from 1 species